AACGAACGCUGGCGGCAUGCUUAACACAUGCAAGUUGAACGCAGGAUAGGUUUAUCCCCCGUGCAAACGGGGACCCAAAUCUAUUGCUGAGUAGCAAACGGGUGAGUAACGCGUGGGAUCUGCCUUUUUGUGGGGGAUAACUGAGGGAAACUUCAGCUAAUACCGCAUAAGCUCUACGGAGGAAAGACUUUGGUUUUUCAGUGGUUAGAGGUUAGAAAUUAGUGAUUAGAAUAAGUUUUUCUAAUCACAAUAUCUAAUAACUGCGAAGCGACGAAGUCGCGAGAAGAGGAGCCCGCGUCGAGAUUAGGUAGUUGGUGGGGUAAAAGCUACCAAGCCUGUGAUCUGUAGCUGGUCUGAGAGGA
rnacentral:rRNA from 1 species